rnacentral:misc_RNA from 1 species
AUGCUAUGUUGGACAGAUUGAUAUUUUUUAUGAUAUAUAUAUUACGGUAUAUUUUUUUUUUUAAUCUUAAAUUGAAAGGAAAAGAAAAUUAACAUUCUAUGGUGUUUUUAGAAAAGAUUUAUCUUUUAAGGUUUAUAGUUUAAUCUGAAAAGAGAUAUAUGCUCUUUGGGAUUCUAUUUUUACACAUCUUUUUUUUUUUCUUUCAUCAUUGCAUUCUUUUGAUCUGUAAAUAUAUGACUGUAUUUUUAUAUGAUAUAUGUGACAGAAUACUGUUUUGACAAGAUGGUGUUCAACUGCAAAAUAAUGUGCCAAACACAAAGGCGGUGGUUUUUUUCUAAAGCUAUGCAGAAGAAUCGUGCUAUUAAGUAUGCUCUGCACUUCCCGCAUUUAUACGCAUGAUUGAGUAAGUGACAUAGGAUUUAUGAAGCUAGGGUCAAAUUAUUACCGUUAGGGUCUCAUUUUAACUGGUUUCAUUUAAUUCAGGAACAUUAUUUAUAAAAAGAAAUAUUUUUAGGUUUAGAUCAUAAAUAAACUUCAUUGACUGUAAUUAUUUAAGAUUUGGAAAGGGAUGGGGAUAUUUGUUUCAACUCUGUGACUUCCAUGUAUCGUAAGAGACAAAUGGGAUCAUCAAAGUUGGAUUUAUAUUUGCAUAGAUUAUGUGGUUUGAUUUUUUUGUUUAAUAAUCAUUGCAUUCACUAAUUCAUUAUCAUGUGAACCCAUUGUUAAUAUUCUCUGUACAUUGUACAUUUUUUAAUGAUUAAAAAGUGCAGGUAACCAU